GAAACAGAUCUGCAGGUUAUUUUAUUUUAUUUUAUGUUAGGCAGAGAGAUAGAGAGAGAGAGAGAGAAAUAAGGCACAGCACGAAAGCUUUCUUAAAUGUGGGGGAAGCCUGGGCUUGAAUCUGGAUUGCACACAUAGCAAAGCAGAGCACUACCCAGGUGAGUUAUUUUAUUUGAUUUGAUUUUACUUGUUAGAUACAUACAGAAAAACUGAGAGGGGGAGGUGGAGACAGAGAUAGAGAUAGAGACCUGUAGCACAUCUUCACUGCUCAUGAAGCUUCUCGCCUGCAGGUGGAGAGCUGAAGCUUGAAUCUGGGUCCUUGGGCAUGGUAACGUGUGUUCAACUGAGUACACCACUGCCCAGCACCUCAAGUGAGCUAUUUUUCUGAUCCCUAGACCAAGUUGGCAUACAAGAAUCAGAAGGAUGAAGGGUUAAACAAAGGAGACACACAAUCAACAAACAAAAACAGAAACUGGCCCCCGGGGAAUACACGGAGACACAGAGCAACUGGCCUCCAGGAAUACACAUACGGAGACACAGCAACUGGGUUAUUGCUGGGCUCGGUGCCUGCACCAUGAAUCCACCGCUCCUGGAGGCCAUUUUUCCCCCUUUUGUUGCCCUUGUUGUAGCCUCGUUGUGGUUAUUAUUAUUGCCCUUGUUGAUGCUAUUCGUUGUUGGAUAGGACAGAGAGAAAUGGGGAGAGGAGGGGAAGACAGAGAAGGGGAGAGAAAGAUAGACACCUGCAGACCUGCUUCACCGCCUGUGAAGCGACUCCGCUGCAGGUGGGAGCCCGGGGCUCGAACCGGGAUCCUUGCGCCGGUCCUU